rnacentral:rRNA from 1 species
UAGGGUAACGGCCUACCAAGGCGAAGACGGGUAGGGGGCGUGAGAGCGUGACCCCCCACACUGGCACUGGGACACGGGCCAGACUCCUACGGGAGGCAGCAGUGAGGAAUAUUGCGCAAUGAGCGAAAGCUAGACGCAGCAACGCCGCGUGGGUGAUGAAGGCCUUCGGGUCGUAAAACCCUUUUCUGGGGGAAGAGUAAGGACGGUACCCCAGGAAUAAGCCUCGGCUAACUAUGUGCCAGCAGCCGCGGUAAUACAUAGGAGGCAAGCGUUAUCCGGAUUUACUGGGCGUAAAGAGCGUUGAGGCGGCUUCGUAAGUUGGACGUGAAAGCUCCCGGCUUAACUGGGAGAGGCCGUUCAAUACUGCGGGGCUUGAGGACAGCAGAGGGGGGUGGAAUUUCCGGUGUAGUGGUGAAAUGCGUAGAUAUCGGAAGGAACACCAGUGGCGAAGGCGGCCCCCUGGGCUGCUCCUGACGCUGAAGGCGAAAGCUAGGGUAGCGAACGGGAUUAGAAACCCCGGUAGUCCUAGCCGUAAACGAUGGAUACUAGGUGUAGGAGGUUAAAACUCCUUCUGUGCCGGAGCUAACGCGUUAAGUAUCCCGCCUGGGGAGUACGGUCGCAAGGCUAAAACUCAAAGGAAUUGACGGGGGCCCGCACAAGCAGCGGAGCGUGUGGUUUAAUUCGAUGCAACGCGAAGAACCUUACCAGGGCUUGACAUGUAGGUAGUAGUGAAGCGAAAGCGGAACGAUCCUUCGGGAAGCCUACACAGGUGCUGCAUGGCUGUCGUCAGCUCGUGCCGUGAGGUGUUAGGUUAAGUCCUGUAACGAGCGCAACCCCUGCCGUUAGUUACAAGUGUCUAACGGGACUGCCCGGCAAAACUGGGAGGAAGGUGGGGAUGACGUCAAGUCAGCAUGGCCUUUAUGUCCUGGGCUACACACACGCUACAAUGGCCGGUACAAUGGGUUGCCAAGCCGCGAGGCGGAGCCAAUCCUCUAAAGCCGGUCUCAGUUCGAAUUGUAGGCUGCAACCCGCCUGCAUGAAGUUGGAGUUGCUAGUAACCGCAGGUCAGCCACACUGCGGUGAAUACGUUCCCGGGCCUGUACACACCGCCCGUCACGUCAUGGAAGCUGGUAACACCUGAAG